rnacentral:lncRNA from 1 species
CAGGGUUUGUGGAAGGAGCCGAGGCUCAGGUGUACACCCCAGCACCGCUCGUGUUAACGUGGGCUCUGCAGCAGCACUCAGUGCUCAGGCAAAACUCGCACCGAACCCAGCUGUGUUUGGACUGAACUUGCCGGAGUUCUGCUUGAGAAAGGGCACUGAGAAAUAAUAACGUUUUGUAAAAGGAAUUCAUAUACUUUAAUUGUUGAUAUUUUCCCUUCCGAAAACUCACUGAGAGAUCUGCACCGGCAUUUAGGAUAUAUUGCAUAGUUCUCAAUAGUACAUCAGCCCCAGGGAAGGUGCAGGCACGUACCUAUUGCACAGUGCAGAACUCAAGACGGCGAUAGACAACUGUGGAUGCGCACACGCACACCCGCGCACCCCGCAGCACCCCUCGGCGGGCUUUGCCCCACACUUCCCCGUGCCGCCCCCCGCCCCCCGCACAGCGCAGCGCCUGGGUGACGGGGUCAGGCGUGGCGGGAGCGGGGGAGCGGGAGGUGAAGAGCAGCAGCGGGCUCGGGGCUGGCUGCGGCUGCUCGCUGGGCUGAGCGGCUGUGCCCAGAGGGCGGAGUUCCCGCACGCUGCUGCCUCACCGGAGAACCUGCCCUCGGCGCAGCGCUCCGCAACCGGGACCCCACCGCCACCGCCCUCCCCGCGCCGCUCCGUGUGGACCCGCGUCCUCCUCCGCUCGGGGAACCGGGAGGUAGCGGAGCCGCGCUGCCCCCAGUCCUCGUCCUCAUGCGGGGUUCCCGAGCACCUCUCACACCGCAGAGCGUGCGUCUAACGCCAGGAUUUAUUUUUUAUUUGGUCUCUCUUCGAAGCGUUUCCUCCCCCCGCCUCCCCUCCCCCUCGCUCCCAUCGGUAAGUUGGAACUUUCUUCGCCGCUUUAGCAGUUCUCCCGCUCUCUCUCCAGGUUUUAGUUCCUUUAUUAACGCUUUGCCGCUGCUCCGCUGGCACCGACGCCGGAGAAAACACCACCCGCCAGGAGCGGGGCUGCGUCCGUUCUCGGAGCCGCAGGAGAAGCUGCGGGCGGCGGGGGACGGACGCUUCGUCGGCUGCGGGUAUUUUCCGUGGCGGCCGUUCCGAGGGGGGCUCCGCUUCAUCACAGUUUUCUCAGCUUCGGCAGCUCUGGCGCGACCGUCCCGCCGGCGAGAGAUCACUGAAGGCAAACAUCGAAUUAAUUGGAUCUUGGUGUCUGAGACUGGUAACAGUGUAUUGAAUGGAGUUAUCUGCCACAAUGCCCAGGUGUCUGCCAGAAUGUCAGGCUGUUCUAGACCAGCUCAUUUUCAGAUGUGUCCUCUGACAACACCAUGUUAA